GCCUCUCCUGACACCAAAACAAAAACGUGAGAAUUUCAGUGAAAUAGUCAUGCAUUGAGUAAAGUACAAAAAAUCUGAAAGUUUUAAUAAACUCAAAUAUAUCUUUCAGAAACCAGUAUACAAAUGAUUUCUCAUUUACCUUUUUAAAUACAACUAAAUACACACAAAAUCUAAGCAACAUUUAGCAUUUUCACUCUAAAACUUGGAGACCUCAUCUUUUAUCUAACCUCUCUUUUUUCCAGUACAGCGUCAUUACCAUGGAGUUUCAUUGUGUACGUGUACAAGCUCGUCUGAAAAGAGUUGGCUUGUAAAUGGGAGAAGCUGUCCAAGAAGUAUUCUCACAAUGAAAUAAUCAUUUUAUUUUGUCCAUACCGACAAACAACCAGUCAAUUCAGCUGGAGGAAAAAACAAACAAACAAACAAACAUUUUAUUUUCCAAAUUUGUAAUGAGUUCGCUUAAUUAUUUUUGGUUUAUUGUGUUAUCUACAUAGUUGAAUCUUAAAUCUGAAUUUUCAUAACCUAAGGAAGGAGUCCCACUGAGUGAUGUUUUAUGUUACAAUCAUUUUACUGUAAUCAAUAUUUAAGCGUAUGGUAAAGGCAGCUAAUAUUGUGUCAUAAACACUUCAAGUGAGUCACAGAACUCAUUUCACCUGGAGGCUAUGGAAGAGCCCUGGGCUUCCGCAUUCCCUCCCUGACUCCUACUAUGUCCACCUUUAAUAGUUUUGUAUGUGUCACUCCCUAAAACAACAACAACAAAAAUGCAACUUGAAAACCACAGAUCCAUUCUAGCCUUUUACUCAGUUCACCCCUGUACAGCAUUGCACAAAGACAUGGAAACCAGCACAGAUGACAUUUGGAGACUACCAACCUUGGCUACUUGCCUUCAAGGAGCAUUUAUGUCAUUUAAAAAGUUGCUGUACUUUAGCUUAGUGGCAGCCUUCUUUCCACCAUUUUAGUAUCUGCCAUCGAUUUUUCCAUAAAAAACUGAGUGCCAGAUCUUGGCUUUUCUUGACUGUUUAAGCUCGAUAUCAGGAAGAAAAUGAGGACUAACAAUGCUUGUUCCAUCUGUUUCCAUUUUGUCAUGAAAAUCAAAGGAGGUAGUGGAUGUGAAAUUUUACUGAUUACAUAUAUAGGAUCCAAAUAACAUGCAGUGACAAACCUCCUGCAUAUGGCUGAAUGCUAAGCCACCAGCUACUCCUGCCCUCACAUCUCACAACUUUGCUGCAAGAAAAAACAAAACAGAACAUCUUGGCUAAAACUGCCCACCUCCUUACCCCAAGCUUGAUGCCAGCUGAAGAGUCCCAGGAGACCAGUUGGCUUAGCCCGGGUCAGAGGCCCUGGAUGGGAGUGGAUGAUUGGUAGCCAUCAUUUGCACCUGAUGGUUAGAGUGUGAGAGAAGCAGUCUUCCUGAAGAAGAGAGGUGGUGUCCUCAGAAAAGAGGAAGGGUACAAGGUUGUGAAAGCAAUAAAUGCUCACGCAAAAGAGGGUUGACCCAAGGUCUGGCCUUCUUCUUGCCACUCUCUAGUGAGGGAGCCCUUAGGAAAUUGAUUAUGCUCUCUGUCAAGCGGCAAAAAUAAAACCUGCCCCUGCCUUACGUGGUGAUGUGAGGAACAGAUUACAGAAUAGAUUUAAAGUGGCCUUUCAAAGUUUAAAGUGCGAUACCAAUGAAAGGUAAACUAAGUUAUUCUGGUUCUCUCCCUGCAUUUGGUCAGUUCCUGUAACGCAAACCAUUCUAGGUAGGUUAUAAUCUCAUGAAAGUUCGGAAGCAAGGAUUAAGGCCACUCUCUAGCUCUGUUUGGUUGAGAAACAGCACUAUUUCAGAGAUUUUUUAAAUAGAUAAAAUUGUAUUCAUCACCUGUUAAAUCAUGCAUGAGAUUUACUUGGGGUGAUCCCUGAAAUUUUUUCAAUUAGAAAAAUGUAAAUUACAAAAUACAUUAUUUAUAAUGCACACACGGUUGACUAUGUUUUAGAAUAUUACCUAAAGAAACCACAGAAGAAUAACAACACAAAUACAGAUUCUUUGAUACUAUACUAGUAUACAUGUUCUGCUUCUUCCUUUCAGGUCUAUUUGCAGAGUCUUCCAUUCUUGAGCAAUUUUCUCUGGGGUGACUCUCCGCUACUAUGAAACCUGUGUCUGUUUGACAAUACCUGUGCCCAUUGUGCAGAGUUCUUUGUGGCCCUAUCAUGGGGGACUUCCAUUCUGUACUUGGUUACUUCAGUGUGUCAGCUAGAUCCAGCUGCUCUGCGCUGGUUCAUGUGGGUACCACCUACAUGCAAUGCGUCUCCAUUUAUCUUACUGUCCAUCCAGGUCCAUUGUACCCUUCAAGACUGGUUGAAGCCCACUGCUGUAGGACAUCAGUUCCUCUGGCCCUGUUCCUUUGUGAAGCCUUUUUGUGUUUUGUGUGACUGUGUGAUCUGACUGCAUUCACAGGCACUUCUCACACAUAGCUUUGUGCAUCUUCUCAAAUUGCUACAUGUGUAUGUUUGUCCCUCCAAAGGAUUAAAACCUGAGUGAGUGCCAGCUUUCUCUGCAGGAGGAGUGGGUAGUGACCUUUGGUGCUUCCAGAAGAAAAGCAUGCAGGACAUCAUGGUAAAAGUGGGAUGCGCAGCAGAGACACCCUUGCAACUUCAUCCCGCUGCUCACUUCCCACCUGGGUCCCUGACCUCACUGGAAAUUGGGGUCCAGGGACUGGAAUCCAUUUGCUCUGGCCUUUGUCUCUCUGGGCUGGGUGUGGGGCCGUGAAAGGAUGAGCGCCUCCUGCCCAUGGUUGCAAUGGGAGAUCCAGAGGAUACAUGCUGAAAAUAAUAUCCUGGGGUGAGGGCCAAGGUCAUGGCCAGUGAGUGAGUCCAAACCAUCUCAUAAAUUAAUGCAACUCUUGGAAAACUGGGAGCUGAGUUAAUGGAGCCGAAAUGAGUGGUGUGGAGCCACAGGGAGAGCCACGAGUGUCCAGAGGGAGCCAGUGCCACCGGCCACGCGGCCCAAGACCUUCCAGGGCCUUCCCUUCAUGGUCUUGCAGGCAGCUGGGCCUGCUGGGGCCGGAAGGGAGCUGGGCCCCUCAGACACAGCCGAGGAAAACUUGACUGCUGGUGUGCCAGAUCCGUCCACAGGUCCCCAGGGAUUCCCCAAGUGAAUUCUGUCCUCUAAAGCUCGUCACAAACAGGUAGGAAAUUCUACUCUUUAAUUAUCCUAAUCCCAAACAAGUCAUGAUACUCACAUAGCCAAUUUCAGGUUUAAUCGUGUUACCUUUAUCCAAGUAGAAAUCAAUUCCCAUUUUUGUAUAGCUCUGCAGAACAUCCAGAGUGCUUCAGCGCAGAGCAAGGCCCCAGCAGUUAUGAGUGCUAUCAUCAUAUGGGAAAAAGAAGUUCAUCACUCUGUGUGUGUGUGGAGCGGGAAGGGAUGGGAGGCAAGUUUAUGACAGUUUCCAUACUUUAUCUAACUAUCCAUACACUUCCUCCUCUUCCCUCCUCUUCCUGUUGGGACAUGUUUGUACAUGCCACAUGCCAUGAGAUUCCAAAGGAAAUAUGAGCCCUUUAUGAUUGUCUAAAUCAGAGUCCAAUUGCAGGGCUGGGCCUUGUGUUACAAAUUCAAUCACAGUUUAGAAAUUAAUCAUACACUUGGCUGGGCGUGGUGGCUCUCGCCUGUAAUCCCAGCACUUUGGAAGG
rnacentral:lncRNA from 1 species